rnacentral:tRNA from 1 species
GAGUGUAUAGCUUAGUGUGGUAAAGCAAUAAACUUUUAAUUUAGAUAUCUUAGGUUCAAGUCCUAAUACACUCA